AAACUGAAGAUGGCGACCGGCGCACGGGUGAGUAACACGUAUCCAACCUACCGAUAACUCCGGAAUAGCCUUUCGAAAGAAAGAUUAAUACCGGAUAGCAUACGAAUAUCGCAUGAUAUUUUUAUUAAAGAAUUUCGGUUAUCGAUGGGGAUGCGUUCCAUUAGUUUGUUGGCGGGGUAACGGCCCACCAAGACUACGAUGGAUAGGGGUUCUGAGAGGAAGGUCCCCCACAUUGGAACUGAGACACGGACCAGACUCCUACGGGAGGCAGCAUG
rnacentral:rRNA from 1 species